GGCCGGGCCGCCCAGAGCUCGCCAUUGGGCCUCACUCCCGGGGUCCCGAGCGCCGGCCAUGCUGAUUGGCCGCUGGGGCUUCAUUCACAGCCCCCCUACAGUCCGCAUACACACUCACGCCCCGGGGGCGCGGCCGCCACGUGGGGAGUGGCGCGGGGGUGGUACUGGGACCGCACCCCCUCUCGUCCUGGCUGCGUGGGCCCGCUUUCCCCGGUCUCUGGAGACUCCGAGCCCGGCGGGUCCCACGCUCCACGCGAGCAGAAUUCCCGCAGGUCUCCCGCCCGGGUGGCCAGAGGCGGUGGCGGGGAUGGCGGGCUCCGGGAGGCGCUCCGGCUCCGAGAAGCCGCUUAGCCCCGCGCUCCUCCCUCCGCAGUGCCGCCGCCGGCGGGCCGGGAUUCCCGCGGGUCUCGGCGGCCGCGAGCUGCAGGCGGCGCGGGUCCCCGGCUCGGUUGGUCACCUUGCCCGCCUCGCCUCCCACGGCUUCCAGCGGGCGCGGAGCUCUCCUCUGCGCGCCUCCCCGGCCCGUCUCGGUUUCCCUUCUUCGUCCUCUAGACCAUCCAGCGCAACUCCGUCGACCUCCGCGGCCCUGAGAGAGCAUCCGGCGCGGGCAGAGGCGUACCGGCCCGACCUCACGCCUCUCAUGGACUCUUCUCCAGGGUACCAUGGCCCAGAUUGGGACUAUCAGUACCAUAGGCAGCCCACCUGUCUCACUAAGGUAAGUCAUAGAGUGGUACAAGACAGUGGGAGGGAGUAGGACUCAGAAAGGGCUUUUACUCUUGUUGUUUCUAUUGUUAGCACCCAGUGAAGGAAGAGGUUACUCCCACUAUCUAACUAAAUCGCCAUUCCCUCAUCUGCAGAGUGGGGAUGUGGAGGUUCGGAUACUAUGACCUCUUUGGUAACCUCCCUUCCAGCUCUGAUGGUCUGAGUCUAUGAACCUGUCUCAGUUUCUGUUGGAGGAAGGGAAAUGUCUGGACAGUGGACAGAUGUUGUUUGGAAUGGUCACCAUGAGCAAUGGAUGUUUUAACGAAUAAAUGCUUUUCAUUCAUGAUGUUACCUGCUACU
ensembl:lncRNA